rnacentral:rRNA from 1 species
GCUUACGGCCAUACCACCCUGAGCAAGCCCGAUCUCGUCUGAUCUCGAAAGCUAAGCAGAGUCGGCCUGGUUAGUACUUGGAUGGGAGACCGCCUGGGAGUACCAGGUAAUCUAAGCU